rnacentral:lncRNA from 1 species
CACAAGUGAUGGGUUGUGGAUUGCAGAUUGCAGAUGCUUGCAUAAGAUUCUCACCAGCUCUUUUGCUAUGAAUCAGCACCACCUGUGUUCGGUGCCCACCUCGACUUUUUCAGAACAGGUCCGAGUCAAAUAGCAAUGAUUCGAAGCACUUCUUUGCGCAUCUACAUGUCACUUGUAUGAAUGCAAUAAUCACUGGAAUGACUUAGCAGCUGCAUGCUCCUGUCACUUGCUGAGCUAAUGUCAUGUUAUCUAAUGAUGAAUGUAUUAAACAUCCAUUGAUGAAUGUAGUAGAUGGUGUAGAACUGUUGCAUCCCUGUUAUCAUUUGAUGAUGAAUAUCUUCGCAUAACUGCAACAUUUAUGCAUGAAGAAAUGCCUGUGCUUCUUACCUUUCAAUGCAUUCUUGUGUUUUGUCUUGAAAAGC